AAUAAGUUGAGUGUCUUCCUACA
rnacentral:siRNA from 1 species